rnacentral:pre_miRNA from 1 species
GGGCAACAAAAGGAGCUCCUUUCAGUCCAAUACGAGGGCCGAGAAGCGGACAGAGCUGCCAUCUCAUGCAUUAGGGCUAUGCUUAUCAUUAACACGAGAGAUCGCAGAGGAGUGGGAGAGAUCAGUGAAAUUACGGAGACUCUAAUAAUGGGUUUAAGCAUAACCUAAGUGCAUGAUGCGGGAGCGACUCCUUCUGCUUGCUUUGCCCGCCCAUUGGACUGAAGGGAGCUCCUCCUAGCUAUGUC